rnacentral:tRNA from 2 species
GCUUCGAUAGCUCAACUGGUAGAGCACAGAACUGAAGCUUCUGGGGAGUGGGUUCAAGUCCUGCUCAAAGCA